rnacentral:rRNA from 1 species
GGAAUACCCGCUGAACUUAAGCAUAUCAUAG